UAAUUUUAUUUCUUUAUUGGAGCUUAUUAAAGGUAUUGGUCUGCUCCUUUGCUGUACAUCACUCAUUGUACAGUCCCAGUGAAGGCCAAGCACAUUUUUGCAUGUCAAACCAAAGUUAGCUGUACAUAGCUCUCCUCAAAGGUUUCCUCCAGCUGGUAAGAACUGGAACUGAGCAUAUCCUACUGAACCAAACUCAAAACCAGACACAGCAGCACUGCCAGCACCAGGGAGCUGAGGGUCAGGAAGGAUCAGGAUUUGGGGAGAUACAGUGGUUGAUUGGAGGUGGAGAGGUCAGGCAACUUUCAAAAACAGUAUUUAAUAUAAACAUAGACAAUGUACUGCACCUGCUAAACAAUGAGAGUCCUCUGUCUGUGCAGAACGAGGCCCCUGCAGUGACAACAACACUGAGAAAGCCCAGGAAAGCCCUGUCUGGCAUAGCUGGAGAUCAACAGUGAGCCCUACAGUGCAGGGCAGAGCAAACAAAAUCCACUUCUGGGUUACGACAGGGCUGCACAAGCCUUUCUGGAGAAUGGGCAAACCUACCUAAAAGAUAGGUCUGUCUGGGGCGGGGCUGACAUUUUUGGAAAGAGUUCAGGAAUUCUAAAGGAUAGAACCUCAAAACAGGGCGAAAACCUGACUUUGGAAAUUAAUAUACCCUGGAAGCACUAGUGCCUGAAGCCCAGCCAGAUAAGGAGCCAGCUGACAUUUGAAGAGCUCUGGAGCUUGGCAGAUGCUCUCUCAGAGCUUGCUGCAUCCAGCACUGAUCCAAGGGUGUAAUCCCAACACCUCCUUCUGGAGCUCCACACACCAUACUGCAAGACCAGCUGGGAAACAAGGAAAGACAGGUUUGAAGAUGUAGGAGCGUCAAUGUUUGUAUCUAAAUAGAUUUGAAAGUGAUUACUGCAAAGCCAAGCAGCUGAAACCACCUCAGUACUGACACAGCCCAUCAUUACACCCUUCCAGCAUGGGGGGCUCAGCUUUCAAAGGACUGCUGGGAUUUAGCCCCAGUUUCCAUUAACACCAGUGACCCACCCAGCACCACUUUGGGAGUUACCUGGGGCAGUUUUCUUCUCUGGCUACACAGGGGUUUUACCCCCAGCUCCC